rnacentral:misc_RNA from 1 species
AAAUGCGCUAAGUAGUGUGCAUUGCAGAAUUCAGUGAAUCAUCGAAUCUUUGAACGCACAUUGCGCCCCUUGGUAUUCCAUGGGGCAUGCCUGUUCGAGCGUCAUUUGUACCCUCAAGCUCUGCUUGGUGUUGGGUGUUUGUCCCGUCUCCGCGCGUGGACUCGCCCCAAAGUGAUUGGCAGCCGGCGUACUGGUCCCGGAGCGCAGCACAUGUCGCGCAAACGAGUGCCUUGGUACGGCGGCGUCCAUAAGCCCCUCUCUCACGCUCUUGACCUCGGAUCAGGUAGGGAUACCCGCUGAACUUAAGC